rnacentral:sRNA from 1 species
UUGCAAAAGGGAUGGAAGCGUCAUCCUUUUUUUUGUUGACAAAUUUUCAAUCUUUAAAAUAAACUUCGGCAAAAAAAAGAUAUAGCGGACAGCCCGACCCGAG